CAAGAACCAUUAUAUUGGCUGGACUUUAAGGCAACCCGAUUAAUAGAAUACUAAUACCCAUUUCCAAAACCUGAAUUGGACGGAGUGUGGUGUUUAGCAGAGGAGAAAAUGUUCAAUCGAAGAAGAUUUCUGUCGCUUCCCAUGGUUAUUGGUGCUGUCGUAAUCGGCAUCGUGUCUGGAAAAGCGAUAUUUGGACCACCAGUGGAUGAGUACUGGAAGAAAAAGCUCCAGGAAGAAGCAGCUGCAAAAGGGACUGACACCAACUCAUCAUCUUAAACAGAUACAAGCAAGUCAAAUUAUUUCAUCACUCAUGAGACAUACAUAAAGUUGCAAGUUUUGUUUCCAGAUUAAUAACCUCAUAUGUUCAUUCAGAUUCAGGGCUGUAAUGUGGAAGGAACCACCUAAUAGUUUGGUUAUUUAGUGCUAUGCUUAAGCAUCUUCGACUAGCUUGUAGCCUGCUGCUCAUAUAGUUGGCUCGGGAAAAAAACUUUAGCUGAUUUCACUCAGCUUGAACUUGUUGGUUGUUAUAAGCAACUUUGGAUCAUUAUUAACUGUUUUGGCUUGUGUAACUUGCUUGUUAGUGUCAUAUAAAUUGGAGUUUGGGUUGAUAGUUU